AAUCCUGUUUGGAGAACUGAGGUGAAAGGCGGGUAGGGGCAGGGAGUGGGGGCCAGACUCUCGGGAAGGUAAGCCUAUAGGCAGAGAGGCCUCCAGAACUCCAGGGCUGUGGCAAGACAGUGUUCAGCGGCCCAGAAUUGUAACGCUGUCCAAGGGAUACACAGGGAAGGUGUGUGGGGAGUUGGAGUGGCCUAGAUGGCAGCCAAGCAGACAGAACCUGUGACAAUCAUUAGCCUUCGGAAGCUGAGCCAGGCAACCCCAGAGCCGCAGCAGAAAGAGACAAAGACAUUCACCGUGGAGGAUGCCGUAGAGACCAUUGGGUUCGGACGUUUCCACAUCGCACUUUUUCUGAUCAUGGGCAGCACUGGGGUUGUGGAGGCCAUGGAGAUCAUGCUGAUAGCUGUUGUGUCUCCUGUUAUCCGCUGUGAAUGGCAGCUGGAGAACUGGCAGGUGGCAUUUGUCACCACGAUGGUGUUUUUUGGCUACAUGGUAUCCAGCAUCCUCUUUGGUCUCCUGGCUGAUAGAUACGGCCGUUGGAAGAUUCUGCUGCUGUCAUUCCUGUGGGGAGCCUACUUCUCCUUACUGACCUCUUUCUCCCCAUCCUACGUCUGGUUUGUCUUUCUGAGGACCAUGGUAGGCUGUGGAGUGUCUGGCCAUGCACAAGGGUUAAUCAUAAAGACGGAAUUUUUGCCCACAAAAUACCGAGGUUACAUGCUGCCCUUGUCUCAGGUUUUCUGGCUUGCUGGCUCCCUGCUCAUCAUCAGCCUGGCCUCCGUGCUCAUCCCCACCAUUGGGUGGCGCUGGCUCAUCCGUGUCGCCUCCAUCCCUGGCAUCAUCCUCAUCAUGGCCUUCAAGUUUAUCCCGGAGUCUGCUCGUUUCAACGUCUCCACUGGAAACACGCGGGCUGCGCUGGAUACCCUAGAGAGCAUUGCCAAGAUGAACCGCUCAGUCAUGCCCGAGGGGCAGCUGGUGGAGCCCAUCCUGGAGAAGAGAGGAAGAUUUGCAGACCUACUGGACUCUAAGUAUCUCCGGACCACAUUACAGAUCUGGAUCAUAUGGUUGGGAAUUUCUUUUGCUUACUACGGGGUUAUCCUGGCCAGCGCUGAGUUGCUGGAGCGGGAUCUGGUCUGUGGUUCGAAGUCGGGGUCGGAACCAGAGGUGGAGGUGACCACCGGGGACACAGAGGGGAGCCUAAGUCCCUGCUAUUGCCACCUGUUUGCACCCUCAGACUAUAGGACCAUGAUCAUCAGCACACUCGGGGAAAUUGCUUUGAACCCUUUAAAUAUCCUGGGCAUCAAUUUCCUGGGCAGACGACUGAGCCUGUCCAUCACCAUGGGAUGCACAGCUUUGUUUUUUCUUCUCCUCAACAUCUGCACCUCAAGUGCCGGCCUCAUUGGCUUCCUCUUCAUGCUGAGGGCUCUGGUGGCAGCAAACUUCAACACCAUCUACAUUUAUACCGCUGAGGUGAGCACUGGCGGUGGCGUGGCUCCUUCAGGGCACGCCAGGUCUACCCUACUCCGAUGCGUGCUCUGGGGAUGGGAACCAGCGGUUCCCUGUGCCGCAUUGGAGCGAUGGUCGCACCGUUUAUAUCCCAGGUCUUGAUGAGUGCCUCGUUCCUGGGAGCCCUGUGUCUUUUCUCGUCUGUCUGUGUUGUGUGCGCCAUCUCUGCAUUUACUCUCCCCAUUGAGACCAAAGGACGCGCCUUGCAGCAAAUUAAAUGAGGACCUACAAUACUAUGGUUACCAGAGGAAAAAUGAAUAUUUGAUCUUCACUGUUACUUUUUUUUUUUUUUUUACCAUUUUAUUUCUGCACGUGGUAAUUAAGACAAGUGUAUUUUAAGACAACCAAGGCACACACACAAAUGAAGUGGGGAAUCUCUUUCUUGGGAAAUUAUAUACGCAAACCUCUUUAGGAUAUACUUUGCCUCAAAUCCCAGCACAUAGGAGGGGAUAGGAGGGUCUGGAGUUCAAGGUCAUCCUCAAAUGAAGCAAGUUUGAGACCAGCUUGGGUGUCUAAAACCAAACAAACUCAACCACCUACCACCAACUAAACCACUUAUACACACACACCCCACCCCCAAACAAACCAAUACACCCAGAGACUGAAUGGGAAUAGGAGAAGGUGGUGGGUGGAGAAAUACCUUUUCUUACUUGGCAUCAACUACUACUUUUUUUUUUUGGAUCAACAACUACUUAACCUUAGACAAAACACUUGGUAUUGUUCCACAUGGUCUGUGGUUGAAGGACAGAGAUUCUGUAGUUAAGGCAAGAAACUAGGCUUGCAUCACUGAAUUUAAAAUAUGGCCUUGGUAGCUUAAAAAAAGAACUACUACUUAUUUGGAAUGUAACUACCAAGAAGUUGGGAAUGAAGUUAAUGUUUUCCAUACACUGUUAACUCUUUUUUAAUCUUCGGAGGGAAUCAAUCAUUGGUUCUCAUGAUGCACGUGCAGCUUUCCUAGAACAUGUAACUACUUACAUAUUGUUUGUAGGUGUUGGCUAUGCAUACCAUGUUCUACCAGGAAAGGCAUGCUUUGGAAAGACAUCAUCUAAAGCUUCUGCAUUUAUAUUUUAUCUUGUACUGCUGUUCAGGGUUACUUUGGAGGUUCACUACAGGCUGGCUCAGGAUCCCCCCCCCCAAUAACAGUGGAAAAAGACUGCAGCUACAACCACAAUGAAAUGCUGUAUUAGCACACGGCAUACAAGAGGCAUAAACCCUGCUUAGGGAGCAAGUAACCUCUAUUCAAACUAGUCUAUGGGUGACUUAAAAAUCAGAUGGUUUCUUAUAUAAACUUAGUAGUUCAGGAUUGGAUACCAACUAGUCCAUCUUGUAUAGAAUGGUACAGCAUGGUACUUCUGUCAUCUCCAGAUUAUUAUUAUAGCAAUAAUAUGUACAAAAUAAAGACUAAGAUAUCUGUAAA